rnacentral:tRNA from 1 species
GCCGGCGUAGCUCAAAGGAAGAGCGGCUGAUUCGUAAUCAGCAGGGUGUAGGUUCGAAUCCUAUCGCCGGCUCCA